CCUACGGGUGGCAGCAGUGAGGAAUAUUGGUCAAUGGACGGAAGUCUGAACCAGCCAUGCCGCGUGCAGGAUGACGGCUCUCUGAGUUGUAAACUGCUUUUGUACGAGAAUAAUAGUUCUUACGUGUAGGGAUUUGAAUGUAUCGUACGAAUAAGGAUCGGCUAACUCCGUGCCAGCAGCCGCGGUAAUACGGAGGAUUCGAGCGUUAUACGGAUUUAUUGGGUUUAAAGGGUGCGUAGGCUGUCGGAUAAGUUAGAGGUCAAAUGGCGGGGCUUAACCCCGUGCCUGCUUCUGAUACUGUUCGACUAGAGAGCGGAUGAAGCAGGCGGAAUGAGUAGUGUAGCGGUGAAAUGCGUAGAUAUUAGGAAGAACACCGAUUGCGAAGGCAGCUUGCUAGUCCGCAUCUGACGCUGAGGCGCGAAAGCGUGGGUAGCGAACAGGAUUAGAUACCCCGGUAGUC
rnacentral:rRNA from 1 species